rnacentral:rRNA from 1 species
GUAGGGAAUAUUGGGCAAUGGAUGCAAGUCUGACCCAGCCAUCCCGCGUGCCGGAAGAAGGCCCUCAGGGUUGUAAACGGCUUUUGACGGUGAAGAAUCGACAGGAUGCGUCCUGUUUUGACGGUAGCCGUUGAAUAAGCACCGGCUAACUCCGUGCCAGCAGCCGCGGUAAUACGGAGGGUGCGAGCGUUGUCCGGAUUUAUUGGGUUUAAAGGGUGCGUAGGCUGGAAGGUCAGUCAGCGGUGAAAAGCUGUCGCUUAACGAUAGUCUUGCCGCAGAUACUUCCUUUCUUGGAUGAGGAGGAGGCCACUGGAACGGAUGGUGUAGCGGUGAAAUGCAUAGAUAUCAUCCAGAACACCGAUUGCGAAGGCAGGUGGCUGUACCUUAAUCGACGCUGAUGCACGAAAGCAUGGGGAGCAAACAGGAUUAGAAACCCUAGUAGUC